rnacentral:rRNA from 1 species
AUUGAACGCUGGCGGCAGGCUUAACACAUGCAAGUCGAGCGGAGUGAUGGUGCUUGCACUAUCACUUAGCGGCGGACGGGUGAGUAAUGCUUAGGAAUCUGCCUAUUAGUGGGGGACAACAUCUCGAAAGGGAUGCUAAUACCGCAUACGUCCUACGGGAGAAAGCAGGGGAUCACUUGUGACCUUGCGCUAAUAGAUGAGCCUAAGUCGGAUUAGCUAGUUGGUGGGGUAAAGGCCUACCAAGGCGACGAUCUGUAGCGGGUCUGAGAGGAGGAUCCGCCACACUGGGACUGAGACCCGGCCCAGACUCCUACGGGAGGCAGCAGUGGGGAAUAUUGGACAAUGGGGGGAACCCUGAUCCAGCCAUGCCGCGUGUGUGAAGAAGGCCUUAUGGUUGUAAAGCACUUUAAGCGAGGAGGAGGCUCUUUUGGUUAAUACCCAAGAUGAGUGGACGUUACUCGCAGAAUAAGCACCGGCUAACUCUGUGCCAGCCGCCGCAGUAA